CUCAGAAUGAACGCUGGCGGCGUGCUUAACACAUGCAAGUCGAACGAGAAAUCUUUAGCUUGCUAGAGAAAGUAAAGUGGCGCACGGGUGAGUAACGCGUGGGUAAUCUGCCUCCGAAUCGGGGAUAACAUUGCGAAAGCGAUGCUAAUACCGGAUAAAAUCUGGUUGGCUUCGGUGAACCGGAUCAAAGGUGGUCUCUUUAUAAAAGCUACCGUUUGGAGAUGAGCUCGCGUACCAUUAGCUAGUUGGUGAGGUAAAGGCUCACCAAGGCGACGAUGGUUAGCUGGUCUGAGAGGAUGAUCAGCCACACCGGAACUGGAACACGGUCCGGACUCCUACGGGAGGCAGCAGUGAGGAAUUUUGCGCAAUGGGGGAAACCCUGACGCAGCAACGCCGCGUGAGUGAUGAAGGCUUUCGGGUCGUAAAGCUCUGUCAGGUGGGAAGAACCCACCAAGUGUUAAGACCACUUGGUGCUGACGGUACCACCGAAGGAAGCACCGGCUAACUCCGUGCCAGCAGCCGCGGUAAUACGGGGGGUGCGAGCGUUAUUCGGAAUCAUUGGGCGUAAAGGGCGCGCAGGCGGUUUUGUAAGUCAGAUGUGAAAUCCCGGGGCUUAACCCCGGAAGUGCAUAUGAAACUAUGAGACUUGAGUAUGGGAGAGGGAAGCGGAAUUCCUGGUGUAGCGGUGAAAUGCGUAGAUAUCAGGAGGAACACCGGUGGCGAAGGCGGCUUCCUGGACCAAUACUGACGCUGAGGCGCGAAGGCGUGGGGAGCGAACAGGAUUAGAUACCCUGGUAGUCCACGCAGUAAACGUUGAUCACUAGGUGUAGCGGGUAUUGACCCCUGCUGUGCCGGAGUUAACGCAUUAAGUGAUC
rnacentral:rRNA from 1 species